rnacentral:rRNA from 1 species
CGGACGGGUGAGUAACGCGUGGGCAACCUGCCCCAUACAGGGGGAUAACAGCCGGAAACGGCUGCUAAUACCGCAUAAGCGCACAGCGCCGCAUGGCGCAGUGUGAAAAACUCCGGUGGUAUGGGAUGGGCCCGCGUCUGAUUAGCCAGUUGGCGGGGUAACGGCCCACCAAAGCGACGAUCAGUAGCCGGCCUGAGAGGGUGAACGGCCACAUUGGGACUGAGACACGGCCCAAACUCCUACGGAAGGCAGCAG